rnacentral:tRNA from 1 species
GGGGAGGUAGCUCAGUGGUAAAGCUGCUUGCCUUGCACGCAUGUGGCUCUGGGUUCAAUCCCCAGCAUUGUCU